UACGGAGGGAGCUAGCGUUGUUCGGAAUUACUGGGCGUAAAGCGUACGUAGGCGGUUAUUCAAGUCAGAGGUGAAAGCCCGGGGCUCAACCCCGGAACGGCCUUUGAAACUAGAUAGCUAGAGUCUUGGAGAGGUUAGUGGAAUUCCGAGUGUAGAGGUGAAAUUCGUAGAUAUUCGGAAGAACACCAGUGGCGAAGGCGACUAACUGGACAAGUACUGACGCUGAGGUACGAAAGCGUGGGGAGCAAACAG
rnacentral:rRNA from 1 species